rnacentral:lncRNA from 15 species
UUAAAUGAUAAUUGCUUGUGUGUGUUUGUGUGUAUUCUCUGCAGGCGCGGCUGUGGAAGGAAAAGGAAAGGGACACCCGUCAAAGUCUUUGUUACACACACUGAGGACGAGAGCGUGCCUGAACACAGCUUCAGCCCAGGUGAUCGUAAGGAAGCAGCAGAGAAUAAACGGCUCACACUGGAUGGGCCUUUCUACAGCACAGAUGCUGCUCCUCACAACUGCGGUCCAUCAGAACAAGCUCAUGGCAAAGUCUCCCCCGGAUCCAAGACCAGCUCCUGCUCAGCCUCUACACCGGGUGCGGCUACUGCUGCUUCCUCAGCCCCAACCCCAACACCAGUCCCUGCUCCUGCUCCGGCGACUUCAGCUCAAGCCCCAUCUCUGACCCCAGCGUCCACUGCUCCGGCUGCCCCGACAGCCUCUGCUCCAGCCCCGACAGCCAGCUCCUUCCCUCCGUCACCUAACUGCCGCAUCCGAGAGGUCCACUGUGGCAGCCAGGUGCGGUUGGUCGUUAUCGCCAUCCGAGACAUCACCAAGGGAGAGGAGAUCACUGUGGACUACAGCCUGACAGAGUGGGGAGAGAACCUGGGUUUCCGUGGUACUGUGUCUCCAGCGCAACAUGAGUGUAACUCUGACACAGAGAACAACAACAAUAUCAAAAAGGAGGAUGAGCCUCUUUCUCUGACAGCCCAGCAUCAGCAGCAGCGGCAGCAACAGCGGCAACAGCAGCAGCAACAGGAGUACGUCACCCCUUCUUGGUCCCUCUCCCCCUCCUCCUCCCCCAUCUCCCACUCGGACGCCAGUGACUCGGACGCUGGAGAUGAGGACAACGCCAGCCCCCGCGGGCGCGCCCUACGCCGUCGCAAAAAACGACGCGGCACACCUUCAAAGAAAAAGACCCCCCAUCGGACCCCACCUGGGCGGCCACCACUGGUCUCCCCCGCCAACAUUCCUCAACACAGCCGUCCACUUCCUUUGUCCCACCCUCCAGCGCAGUCCUCCCCUCCCUGCUCGUCUUCCUCCUCCUCCUCCUCCUCUUCAGCUAAGCCUGUGUUCAAAGCUCCUGCUCCCCUGGGGUCCAACACCACAAGCAACGUCAACAUAAAUGUCCCCAGAGGAGGAGUGUCCAUAGACUCCAUGCGCCAAACCUGUGAGUACUGUGGACGCCACUUCCGCUCCCUGGGUCGCCACUUAGAUAAACACCAUGCACACCAACCAGAAGUGUGCUCUGCUUUAGUGGAGCGCUACACACAGAUGCCCCGCCUGCACGCACAGAACCCAAACCCCACCACAGCUCACACACAAACUCAGCAGCACUCAAAGUCGUCACAAGUUGCGGGACAGAGCCGCACUUCAGAUCUUCCACAGAAUGGCGUCCAGGACCUCUCCAUGUCUCCGCCCACUCUCACAGCAGCCAACCAAUCCCCUGCUUCCGCUGGAAGAAACUCCACCCCACCUUUGCUGACUCCUCCGCGAGGACAGAAUGCAGUGCCGGUGUCUGUCUUAAAGAGAAGUCCACCCCCUGUGGCUGUGACACAGUCCAGGAAGGGAGCUGUGAGCAGGCUGAAGAAAGAAAGACAGAACGAGGAAGAAGCGGAUGAGGGGGACGAAGAUGAAGAAGAUGUGGAGGUUGUGGAGGUAAAGAGGCCCAAAGAGGAGGAGGAUGUUGAGGUGGUGUGUCCUCAGUCCUUCAGCUGCAAGUCGCCCAAAGAGAUGGAGCCACCAAAAGAAGAGGAAGAUGAGGAGGAGGAGGAAGAGGAGGAGGAGGAGAAUGGAGUGAUGGAGGUAGAAGAUGAAAGUGGAACAGAAGAUAAGGAAAAGGACCUACUGAGGUAA